CUAGAGUUAUUCUAUAUAAGAUUGUGGCUUUGGGGGUUACAGAAUUUACUCUUGU
rnacentral:tRNA from 1 species